rnacentral:rRNA from 1 species
UACGUAUGGAGCAAGCGUUAUCCGGAUUUACUGGGUGUAAAGGGAACGUAGGCGGCAGGGCAAGUCUGAUGUGAAAGCCCGGGGCUCAACCCCGGUAGUGCAUUGGAGACUGUUCAGCUCGAGUGUCGGAGGGGUAGGCAGAAUUCCUGGUGUAGCGGUGAAAUGCGUAGAUAUCAGGAGGAACACCGAAGGCGAAGGCGGCUUACUGGACGUGUACUGACGCUGAUGUUCGAAAGCGUGGGGAGCAAACAGG